rnacentral:rRNA from 1 species
GACGAACGCUGGCGGCGCGCUUAACACAUGCAAGUCGAACGGUAAGGCCCCUUCGGGGGUACACGAGUGGCGAACGGGUGAGUAACACGUGAGCAACCUGCCCUUGACUCUGGGAUAACAGUUGGAAACAGCUGCUAAUACCGGAUACGACCUUCGAUGACAUCAUCUGGAGGUGGAAAGCGCUUUAGCGGUCAAGGAUGGGCUCGCGGCCUAUCAGCUUGUUGGUGAGGUAACGGCCCACCAAGGCUUCGACGGGUAGCCGGCCUGAGAGGGCGACGGGCCACACUGGGACUGGGAUACGGCCCAGACUCCCACGGGAGGCAGCAGUGGGGAAUAUUGCACAAUGGGCGCAAGCCUGAUGCAGCAACGCCGCGUGCGGGAUGACGGCCUUCGGGUUGUAAACCGCUUUCAGUUCCGACGAAGCGCAAGUGACGGUAGGAACAGAAGAAGGACCGGCCAACUACGUGCCAGCCGCCGCCGUAA